AUGUCGGAGGUUUGGUCCUUACCUGACUUGGCUGCUAUUAGAAAUACAGGUAAGGAAUGGCUACUUCAUGUCCUUGACCCAUUGCCAGAAAUCGAGAGGUGCAUGCUUCUUAUGACUUUGUGGAGAAUUUGGCACAUCCGUAACGAAGUGAUACACCAUAAACCUGCGCCCCCAAUGGAAGCGUCCAGGAGGUAUUUGUCCUUAGUUACAUAUGACAGGCCACUUAAAAAUUCACAUGUUCGAAUAGUUGAGAGCACUCCUAUCAAAUUCCCCCUAUGGUGGGAUGGGUGA
rnacentral:rRNA from 1 species